GCUGGUAGCUCAGUCGGUAGAGCUUGAGGCAAUCUCAAGGUUGUGGGUUCAAGGCCCACAUUGUCCC